CGAAAAAAAGAACGCUAAAAGAUGUGCUGAACAGGACNNNNNNNNNNNNNNNNNNNNNGGCUCCAACUCCGCCGGAAACCAGACGCACAUCCCCACCAACGCACCAACUGAAAUUCCCAGGCAAAUCCAUCGAAACAGCCACCAAAUUUGGCUAUAGAAUUCCCCAAAACUCAUUCAUUUGUAGCCGAAAAUCAUACAGGAACCAUCCAUGUUCGUUGUCUAAAUUGCAGAAUGUUCGAAUUUGUGAAGUUAUCAGUUCUUACUACAGAGUCAGGUUUCUUGGAAGUCGCUGAAACUAGCUGAAAUCCAUUGAGCCGAGGUGCCGAUUUGAAGGUGGCUCGUAGUUCCGUUCAAAUUUGAUUGCGGUCUUAAAUUUUUCUUGUAGCUGCGCUAUCCUAUACGUGGUAAUCUGCUGAAGUUUUCUGUCAAUUGAAUGAUUUAUUUAAGGUCAAUAAUUUUCUCCUUAUCUUUAUGCCUAUCCGUGGUAAUCUGCUGAAGUUUUCUGUCAAUUAAAUGAUUUAUUUAAGGUCAAUAAUCUUCUCCUUAUCUUUAUUAUAAUUCUAGUUAUGAGUGAUUUCAAAAUUAUGUUGGCUCAUUCCUUCUAGCCUUUUAUCUCUGUUAAAAUGCAAGUGAAGUGUUGGAUUGAUUUUCAUCUAAGUUUAUUGUAGCUUAAGAUUGGAGUUUAGGUGGCCUACUACCUGUUUGUUAAAAUGCAAUUGUUGUUUCUAUUGCUUUCCCCAUAUUUUAAUUGAUAUCAGUGACUUGUAAUUGAUAGUGGAAGUUUCCUUACUCAUUUUUACGAGUAUCUCCCUUCAAUUUCAUAACAUGGUUUGGGUAGCAUGAAUUUGGAGUUGUACGUCG
rnacentral:lncRNA from 1 species